CUUCUUCAAUUUGCUGCGGGCAUAUGUAGUGGAUGUGUGAGUCAAUACCACCGGCGGUCAGAAUAGAGCCCUCACCGGCCAGAAUCUCCGUCCCCGGCCCGAUCACUAUGUCUACCCCUCGCUGCACAUCAGGAUUCCCGGCCUUUCCGAUUCCCGCGAUACGGCCAUUUUUCACCGCAACAUCGGCUUUCACGAUGCCCCAAUGAUCAAGGAUGACGGCAUUGGUGAUCACCAGAUCCGGCACCUCUGCACACAGGGCCUGACUUUGUCCCAUCCCAUCACG
rnacentral:sRNA from 1 species